AUGAUGCUUUUGAAUUUAUCCAGAAAGAAAGAUUGGAUUUACAGCUUUGUAUUUUGUUUUACUGAGGAAACUGGAAGGAGCUCUGCUUAUUCUCUGUUAGCAGAAGAGAAAACCAUAAUUAUAGUGGUUGCUCGCUUUUCAACAGUAACACCACAGAGUUCACAUGCAGACUACUCCCAACACUGCAUUGCACACUUACACUUCAUAGAGUCGCUCUGUCGGGGUCAAUCAAGUCCUCAUUGGGCACACUCCACAGACCAAAAGAUAUCACCAAGGUGGACGGGGGCACUCAUUCUGGCCACCGUGAGAAUCCAAUUCUCGCCUUCUAAUACCUUAUUCACUAUUCUCUUUUUCCUGGAUGCCAGUUCAUACAGGCCCAAGGUGCAGUCGCAGAGAGGGAUCCUCCAACCCAAUUGCUCUGCAUAA
rnacentral:rRNA from 1 species